CUGAAUCACUCACCCUCCCCCAUACACUCACAGCCUACUUCUCCCUGCAGGUGAUCUCGGCGCGCAGGGCCUUCCGCGUGUCGCCGCCGCUCACCACCGGCCCACCCGAGUUCGAGCGCGUCUACCGAGCCCAGUGAGGCGCGGCGGGAGGGCGCGGGGCGGGGAGCGAGCCCCAGGCGGGUCCGGGUCGCAGGACCAUCCCGGCCGGCGCGCUCAUCCCACCCGCCCACCGCAGGGUGAACUGCAGCGAGUACUUCCCGCUGUUCCUCGCCACGCUCUGGGUCGCCGGCAUCUUCUUUCAUGAAGGGGCGGCGGCCCUGUGCGGCCUGGUCUACCUGUUCGCGCGCCUCCGCUACUUCCAGGGCUACGCGCGCUCCGCGCAGCUCAGGCUGGCACCCCUGUACGCGAGCGCGCGCGCCCUCUGGCUGCUGGUGGCGCUGGCUGCGCUCG
rnacentral:sRNA from 1 species